rnacentral:rRNA from 1 species
CAGUAGCCGCGGGAAAACGUAGGGUGCGAGCGUUAAUCGGAAUUACUGGGCGUAAAGCGUGCGCAGGCGGUUGUGUAAGACAGGUGUGAAAUCCCCGGGCUUAACCUGGGAACUGCGCUUGUGACUGCACAGCUAGAGUAUGGCAGAGGGGGGUGGAAUUCCACGUGUAGCAGUGCAAUGCGUAGAGAUGUGGAGGAACACCGAUGGCGAAGGCAGCCCCCUGGGCCAAUACUGACGCUCAUGCACGAAAGCGUGGGGAGCAAACAGGAUUAGAUACCCGGGUAGUCCCUGUCUCUUAUAC